rnacentral:rRNA from 1 species
UACAGAGGUCCCAAGCGUUGUUCGGAUUCAUUGGGCGUAAAGGGUGUGUAGGUGGCGCCGUAAGUCGGGUGUGAAAUCUCGGGGCUUAACUCCGAAACUGCAUUCGAUACUGCGGUGCUUGAGGACUGGAGAGGAGACUGGAAUUCAUGGUGUAGCAGUGAAAUGCGUAGAUAUCCGGAGGAACACCGGUGGCGAAGGCGGCUUCCUGGACCGACACUGACGCUGAGGCGCGAAAGCUAGGGGAGCAAACAGG